rnacentral:misc_RNA from 1 species
GAUGAAGAACGUAGCGAAAUGCGAUAAGUAAUGUGAAUUGCAGAAUUCAGUGAAUCAUCGAAUCUUUGAACGCACAUUGCGCCCGUCAGUAUUCUGGCGGGCAUACCUGUUCGAGCGUCAUUACGCCCCUCAAGUCCCCUGUGGACUUGGUGUUGGGGAUCGGCGAGGCUGGUUUUCCAGCACAGCCGUCCCUUAAAUUAAUUGGCGGUCUCGCCGUGGCCCUCCUCUGCGCAGUAGUAAAACACUCGCAACAGGAGCCCGGCGCGGUCCACUGCCGUAAAACCCCCCAACUUUUUAUAGUUGACCUCGAAUCAGGUAGGACUACCCGCUGAACUUAAGCAUAUCAAUAAGCGGAGGA